rnacentral:rRNA from 1 species
AUUGAACGCUGGCGGCAGGCCUAACACAUGCAAGUCGAGCGGAUGAAGGGAGCUUGCUCCUGGAUUCAGCGGCGGACGGGUGAGUAAUGCCUAGGAAUCUGCCUGGUAGUGGGGGAUAACGUCCGGAAACGGGCGCUAAUACCGCAUCCGUCCUGAGGGAGAAAGUGGGGGAUCUUCGGACCUCGCGCUAUCAGAUGAGCCUAGGUCGGAUUAGCUAGUUGGUGGGGUAAAGGCCUACCAAGGCGACGAUCUGUAACUGGUCUGAGAGGAUGAUCAGUCACACUGGAACUGAGACACGGUCCAGACUCCUACGGGAGGCAGCAGUGGGGAAUAUUGGACAAUGGGCGAAAGCCUGAUCCAGCCAUGCCGCGUGUGUGAAGAAGGUCUUCGGAUUGUAAAGCACUUUAAGUUGGGAGGAAGGGCAGUAAGUUAAUACCUUGCUGUUUUGACGUUACCAACAGAAUAAGCACCGGCUAACUUCGUG